rnacentral:rRNA from 1 species
UACGAAGGGGGCUAGCGUUGCUCGGAUUGACUGGGCGUAAAGGGCGCGUAGGCGGUUCGUACAGUCAGACGUGAAAUUCCUGGGCUCAACCUGGGGGCUGCGUUUGAUACGUGCGGACUUGAGUGCGGAAGAGGGUCGUGGAAUUCCCAGUGUAGAGGUGAAAUUCGUAGAUAUUAGGAAGAACACCGGUGGCGAAGGCGGCGACCUGGUCCGAUACUGACGCUGAGGCGCGAAAGCGUGGGGAGCAAACAGG